GAAAAUGUUAAGUAGAGUGAAAAAUGUAUCACUGAUUAACCAGUGGAAAUUUAUUACAGCAGUUAAGAGCCCUGGGUCUGGAGCAAAACUGCUGAGGUUUGAGGCCCCGUUUUGCUGCUCACUAGCUACAUGAUCUUGGGCAAGUUAUUUAAGCUCUCUGAGCUUCAGUUUCUUCCUCUGCAGAAUGGGGAUGAAAGUGGACUACUACCUCAUGGCAUGUUUUGAGGAUGAAAUGAGCUAAUAAACACAGUCUUCAGCCCUACAUUAGGAUGGCCUAAGGAAAACAAGAAGACUGAAUGAUAUUCCCUGCUGACUUAUAUAAGUUAUUAGUCUUCUAGAAGGAUCACAAGGAACCAGCAUCAAAGAAAUGGAAUCCAGCUAAUUCCCCCAAGAAACUGAAGUUUUCGGGACAUGACUUGUGAAAGGCAAACAUAAGCUGACAUCUUUUCACACUGAACAGCAAGAGCCAAAGUGUAUCCGAAAAGCCAUUGUCAAAACAAGGAGUGAGAACAGCUGGGGUCAAGACCUAAUGAAGGGCAUCACUCAGCCUCUUUGAGCCUCGGAUUCCUCAUUUGUAAAGUGGGCAUAAUAAUACCUCACAGGGUAGUUAUGAGGGCAAAUGAGAUAAUGGACACGAAGGCACCUGUACACUCCACGGUGCUAUCAGAAUAUUGACUAUUAGUGCUUUCAUCACGCGGCUCCAUCCAAACCCCUGCUUUCCCUCACUCCAACAGGCUUUUACUCUGUCACCCAUGCUGGAGUGCAGUGGUGCAAUCUUGGCUCACUGAAACCUCUGCCUCCUGGAUUCAAGCGAUCCUCCCACCUCAGCCUCCCGAGUAGCUGGGACUACAGGUGAGGGCCACCAUGCCUGGUAAUUUUUGUAUUUUUAGUAGAGACAGGGUUUCACCAUGUUGACCAGGCUGGUCUCAAACUCCUGACCUCAGGUGAUCUGCCCGCCUUGGCUUCCAAAAGUGCUGGGAUUACAGGCAUGAGCCACCAUGCCUGGUCGACACUUAAUCAUUCUCUACUUGUUUUUUUAAAAUUUUAUUUUUACAGUGUCACUCUCAGGAUAUCUACUUCUUAAAAUACUUUUUCUCCCUCUUGGAUUCCGUAACAACCCAUUUUGCGGGUCCCUCUUAAUCUGCUUUGCUGACUUCUGUCCGUUGUUCCAAGUCAGGUGGUCUCAGCUUGGUCUAGCAUCCUCUUCUCUAUUUGUACAUUCUUCCUAAAUGAUUUCAUCUAGCUUCAAAUCUUUAAAAGCCAUCUAUUUGCCAUGACUACUAACUUUGGAUUUGUAGCCUAGGCUCCUCCCUAGAACUCUACUAAUAGCCUACUUGAUAUCUAAAAAUGAAUUUCUUUCUUUCUCUCUUUUUUUUUUUGAGACGGAGUCUCACUCUGUCGCCCAGGCUGGAGUGCAAUGGCGUGAUCUUGGCUCACUGCAACCUCUGCCUCCUGGGUUCAAACAAUUCUCCUGCCUCAGCCUCCCAAGUAGGCAUGAGUAGGAUUGCUAAUUUUUGUAUUUUUAGUAGAGAUGGGGUUUCGUCAUGUUGGCCAGGGUGGUCUCAAAACUCCUGACCUCAGAUGAUCCACCUGCCUCGGCUUCCCAAAGUGCUAGGAUUACAGGCGUAAGCCACUGCUCCCGGCUAUGAAUUGAAUUUCUAAUAAGCAGCUUAAACUUAAAAAAGAAGUUUUGGAGUUUUAUCUCCCAAACCCCUGCUUCUUCUCCUCUUCUUCCUUUCUCAGUAAAUAGCACCACUAUCUACCCUCAGAGCAAAAAAAAAACCUAGUAGCUCUCUCUCCUCAUCUUCCACAUUCAAUCCCUCAACAAGUCUUAUGUUCCAAAAACACACUUCUCUUUAGCAGAUGCCAUAAUGUGCUACGCAGAGCCCUUCCCAGGACUGCAGGACUUAUUCCCACAGCUGCUGGGCAUGCUGCCACCUCACAGCCCUCUGCCCUCUCCGCAAAUUGCCCUCAGCUGCAGAGAGCCACCUUACCCAAGAUCACAUCCCUUCCUGCUUGCAUAUAAAGGCCCACUCCCUCAGUAACCCAAGACAACUCUGGAAGGCCACCCCAGCACAUCCCAGUGCUGCCUGUGGGGUCAGCUAAGGCCCUCAUGGAGACCUCCUCAGAGCCCAGCAUCUCCUCCUGCCUAGACUGUGUCCUUCCCUCCCCUUCUGGAAACCAAAUCUGCAACAUUAUCCCAAGUGUACCUGCCUCUUUCUAUCUUGCUGUUACGAUUUUGGUUAAGCCACCACCUUCUCUCACCUUGACUGCUGCAUUGCCUUUCCCCGUCUCCUUGCUUUUGCUCUUCAUUCGACCAUUCAUUUCUUUCACAACUGUCAGCUAUUCAUACUGUUUUGCUGUGUCUCCACCCAAAUCUCAUUUUGAAUUGUAACUCCCACAAUUCCCGCGUAUUGUGGGAGGAACCCGGUGGGAGGUGACUGAAUUAUGAGGGCGGGUCUUUCCUGCGCUGUUCUCGUGAUAGUAAAUGAGUCUCACGUGAUCUGGUGGUUUAUUUAUUUUAUUUUAUUUAUUUAUUUUUUUGAGACAGAGUCUCGCUCUGUCGCCCAGGCUGGAGUGCAGUGGCGCGAUCUCGGCUCACUGCAAGCUUGGCCCCCUGGGUUCACGCCAUUCUCCUGCCUCAGCCUCCCGAGUAGCUGGGACUACAGGCGCCCGCCACUACGCCCGGCUAAUUUUUUGUAUAUUUAGUAGAGAUGGGGUUUCACCGUGUUAGCCACGGUGGUCCCGAUUUCCUGACCUCGUGAUCUGCCCGCCUUCACCUCCCAAAGUGCUGGGAUUACAGGCGUGAGCCACCACGCCCGGCGAGAUCUGAUGGUUUAAAAAAACAAGAGGUCCCCUGCACAAGCUCUCUCUUUGCCUGCUGCCAUUCAUGCAAGAUGUGACUUGCUCCUUUUUGCCUUCUGCCAUGAUUGUGAGGCCUCCCCAGCCACGUGGAACUGUGAGUCCAGUUAAACCUUUUCUUUUAUAAAUUGCCCAGUCUUGGGUAUGUCUUUAUCAGCAGUGUGAAAAUGGACUAAUACAGCUAUGUUUUAUUUUUUAUUUUCUUAGGGAUAGAGUCUUGCUCAGUCCAUUCUCAGCUGGAGUACAGUGGCACAAUCAUAGCUCACUGCAGCUUCAAACUCCUGGACUGAAGCAAUCCUCCCACCUCAGCCUCCCACCUCAGCCUCCCCAGUAGCUGGGACUACAGGCAUGCGUUAUCAUGCCAGGCUGAUUUUUAUUUUUUAUUUUUUUCAAGAUGGGGGUCUUGAUACGUUGCCCAGGCUGGUCUAGAACUCCUGGCUUCAAGCGAUCCUUUUGCCUUGGCCUCCCGAAGUGCUGGGUUACAGGUGUGAGCCACUGCACCUGACCCUAGUUAUCUUUUUAAGAUAUUCUGUUUAUUUGAUCUUAUUUCAUUAGAUUAUAUUUGAUACAAAAAUGUAACAUAUAUACAAUUUAAGAAGUGUAAAACAAAUGAGCCUAUGAACUGUCCACUCAAAUUCUGAACUAUUGACAUAGCCUGUAUGCAUUUCCCUGAUUGUAACCCCUCCCUACUCUUCAGAAGUAAACACAAUUCUGGAUUUUUUUUUUUGUUAUUCCUAUACUUACAUCUUUAUAAUUGUAGCAUAGAUGUAUUUAUUGCUAAACAAUAUACAGUUUAGUUUCUCUUUUUUUUUGAGAUUUAUAUGUGGAGCCAUAGUAUAUUUUCUGCAAUUUGUUUUUUUCCGCAUUCAACAUUGUAUUUCUGAUCUAAUGUAAUCAUUUAUAUUGAAGUUUGUAACUGAGGUUUAUUCAUUUCCAUGCUUACAGAGGUAUUAAAUUAGUCAAUUAAAAAUACUGCAAAUUGUAAAUAGUUUAUUUAUCCUUGUUGAUGGACAUUUUCCUUGUAUUUUUAGCAAUCUGUUAGACGAAGGUUUUCCAUUUUUGUACAUGGUUUUUGGUGCUUAUGUGCAAGAAUUUCUCCAGCAUAUAUACCUAGGAAUAAAACUGAUGAAUUUAGUGCAUGCAAAUGUUCAGUUGUAGAAGAUAAUGCCAAGUUGUUUUUCUUUUCCUCUCUUUUUUUUUUUUUUUUUUGGACAGAGUCUCAUUCUCACCCAGGCUAGAACCGCCUCCGGGGUUCAAGCAAUUCCUGUGCCUCAGCCUCCGGAGUAGCUGAGAUUACAGGCACACGUCACCACGCCAAGCUAAUUUUUGUAUUUUUAGUAGAGAUGGGGUUUCACCAUGUUGGCCAGGCUGGCCUUGAACUCCUGACCUCAAGUGAUCUGCCUGUCUUGGCCUCCCAAAGUUCUGGGAGUAGAGAGAUGAGCCAGUGCGCUCUGUCUAUUUUGACAGUUAUUUUAUCUCAGCAGUUUAAAUAUAUCAUGCUAAUGUGUCUGGUAUUUAUUGUUGGCCCAGAAAUUAUUCCUUUGCAGGUGGUGCAAAGGAUCAGCACGGGAGUUUUGACCUGCUCCGUUUCCGACCUGGGUCGGUUCACCCCUCCUUAGGCAACCUGGCGGUUCCCCGCUCCAGGGAGGUCACCCUCUUGAUGCUGAAUUUAGCACGGACACCUGAUGGGCACAGUGCACUGCAGCCCAGAGCUCCUGAGCUCAAGCCAUCCUCCUGCCUCAGCCUCCAAGUAGCCAGGACCACAGGCACGCACCCUGAGGAGGAAGAAAUACCAGGUGCGCAUGCUCCAAGAAAAAGCCAUCUGAGGACGCGGCAAGAAGGCCGCCAUCUACAAGCCAAGGAGAGGGGCCUCAGGAGAAAUCGAACCUGUCACACCUUGAUCUUGGACUUCCAGCCUUCAGAACUGUGAGAAAGUAAAUUUCUGUGUUCAAGCUACCAGGUCUGUGGGAUUUUUUAUGGCAGCCCUAGCAGACUAAGACAGGCAUCAAUGGUUCCAAUGUUUUCAUUUUUUUUCCGGUAAGCAGACCGAAGCCCAGAGAGAUGAAGCAAUUUGCCCAAAGUCACAUACCAAGUUAACUGAAGAGUUGGGGUUAGAAUCCAGCUCUUGUGACUUCUCUCUUUUCAGUUUCCCUUCCCACUCCCCCCACUGAAAAGCUUUUGAGUGACUCUUUUAGAAAUCCCGGUUCUGUAUAUGAAGCAGAAUUGAGCACAGCUGCUCUAAUGAAGGGCUCAGAGCUCCCAGGCUUUUCUCUCUCCCCUGCCCCUUUUCCCUGUUGCACCUCUGCAGUGUCCUGAGGGUUGAUGGAAUCUAGUUUGAAAGCUAUUGCUCUACCUCACUGCCUCCUGAAUGCAAUGUCACAAAUUUUCCCAACUUGCCAUUUCUCUCACACUGACAUAAAGCAUUAGAAACCUGUUGUGAAGUAGGAAAGCUAACUGGGUCAGUAGCUGAUAAGAUAAUCUGGCCUAGGGGAUAGAUGAUUAGGAUUUCAGAGAAGGAAAGGUCACCCAAUUGAUUUGACUCUGUCCUGGGGCGAUGAUAUGGUGAAGAUUUCUACAGAUGCAGCAGAAACAUCCGGAAACCAGGUGUGUCCCAGCUCUGGUCUGGGAACCAUUUCAUAAAUUGGCAAAUAUCCAGGAUAUACACAUGGCUAAUUCUGAGGUGUACUGAAGUUUCAAUAAAGCUACUUUGGUAAUGACUAGGAGAAGAAAAUCCUAUGGCUGGACUUCAUUAAUGUUGUAUGGCCAAGGACAGUGUUUCUCUAAUUAUGGCCUGUGAACCUCCCUGGAUCUCGAUCACCUGCAUAUUUGGGAAUAUGCAGGUUCCAGGGUCCCACCUGAAACUACAGAAUCAGUAUUGAGAUCCCAGGUGAUUCUCAUGUACACUCAAGUGUAAGAUUAUUAGCACCUGGACUUUGGAAGCAGCCAGAUAAAAGUUUGGAUCCUGGGUUGGCUACUUCCUAGAUGUGGCCAAGUCAUUUUACUUGCCAUGCUUUUGCUUUUCUUGUCUGUAAAGUGGACAUGAUACCUAUUUUACAGGGUGGUUUUGAGGAAUAAGGUCAGCAUUAAACAUUUAUCCUCUUUAGGGAGACAGAGAGAGGAGAUGAAAUAGAGUAGAAUUGAGAAAAGCAGUUUCUUAGACCUCCCUGUGAAGUUUUUCUUAUUUCAACAAAUAAUAAAAUAAAAAAUUCAUACACUUUCUUAGUGCUUGUUUGGACUUAAGAAUUUAAAAAUAACUUGAGAGUUUUAUAGGCAUCAAGGAUGAUGUCUGAGUGCUGGAAAUACUUGACCUUUGGCUGGAAGGUGGAGUGAAGGUGCCAGCGGACUGAACCCUGGGAGACUGUCUUCUGUUUUAUGAAUGUGGUCAUGCUCUGAGUUAAAUGAUGUCCCUGGUAAGGACAUCUCCCAGAAAAGCUUAGAAAUCAGCUGUAAUCCUUGUUCCCUGCAAGACCCUUGACUUGGAUGUUAAGAGUUCCCUAUAAUGAUAAUAGCUACCUUUACUGAGCACUACUUGUUAGCCAGGCAUUGUGCUAAGUGCUUUAUGUGCAUUAUGUUAUGCAAUCCUGCAAAUACCGUUACGGGGCAGGUAAUAUUAUUAAUGCUAUUUUAACAAUGACAAAAGUAACUCACUGAUUAGGACUCUGAGUAGUAUCCAUACCACUGUAAGGAUAACAAAGAGCAAAGGCAGAUUAGGUCCGGCUCUGCUGUUUGUUGGGUGUUUUACUUAGAUUUAACCCCUAGACAAGUCUGAGUCUUGAUAUGGUCUUGCCUAUUACUCUACUUCUUUCUCUGCUGUGCACAGAUGGAGACUGGCAUCUGUAUUAAUACCAGGUUGUGUGCUUAAAGUCCAAUGAAUAGCAUUUUUUUUUUUUUUUGAGAUGGAGUCUCAUUCUGUUGCCCCGGCUGGAGUGCAGUGGUGCGAUCUCUGCUCACUGCAACCUCCGCCUCCCAGGUUCAAGCAAUUCUCCCACGUCAGCCUCCUGAGUAGCUGGGAUUACAGGGGUAUGCCACCAUGCCUGGCUAAUUUUUGCAUUUUUAGUAGAGAUGGGGUUUCACCAUGUUGGCUAGGCUGGUCUCGAACUCCUGACCUCAGGCGAUCCACCUGCCUUGGUCUCCCAAAGAGCUGGGAUUACAGGCGUGAGCCACUGCACUGAGCCCAGUGAAUAGCAUUUAAUAAAUGUUUGUAAAUGCUCUGAAUGUACUAUGAUAAUACAACAAAGUUGUACACAUAAGAUUAUCAUAGCAAAAAAUGGAGAGUAACCUUGGUUACUUCUAUAUAGUUAUUUAAUUUUAAUUUUUUUUUUUGAGAUGGAGCCUUGCUCUGUCACCCAGGCUGGAGUAUAGUGGCGUGAUCUUGGCUCACUGCAACCUCCACCUCCUAGCCUCCUAGGUUCAAGCGAUUCUCCUGCUUCAGCCUCCUGAGUAGCUGGGACUACAGAUAUAUACUACCAUGCCCCUUUAAUUUUUGUAUUUUUGGUAGAGAUGAAGUUUCACCAUUUUGGCCAGGCUGGUCUUGAACUCCUGACCUCAAGUGAUCAGCUCACGUCUGCCUCCCAAAGUGCUGGGAUUACAGGUGUCAGCCACCGUGCCAGGCCAAUUUUUUUUUUUUUUUAGAGACAGAGUCUUGCCUUGUCAGCCAGGUUGGAGUGUAGUGGUAUGAUCACAGCUUAUUGCAACCUCGAACUCUUGGGCUCAAGUGAUCCUCCAGCCUCAGCCUCCCGAGUAGCUAUGGCUACAGGUGCAUACAAUCAAAUGCCUGGCUAAUUAAAAACAUUUUUUUUUCUGUAGAGAUAGUUUCUCGCUAUGUUGUCCAGGCUGGUCUUGAAAUCCUGGCCUCAAGCAAUCCUCCUGCUUCAGCGUGGGAUUACAAGCAUGAGCCACUGUGCCCAGCCUAUACAGCCAUUUAAAAUGAUUGUAUAGCUCUAUAAUAAAUGAAUAACAUACAUACCAUAAUAAAAGAAUAAAGCAGGAUAUGAAGUAGCAUGAUUAAUGGAAUCUCAUUUUUGAAAAUCAAAUAUGUUUAUAUGUACAUAGAAAAAAUAUGGAAGGAUCUACCCCAUAAUGUUAGUUGAGCUCUGAAUGGUAGAUUUAGGAUUUUUUUUUUUUUUUUUUUUUUUUGAGACAGUCUCACUCUGUCACCCAGGCUGGAGUGCAGUGGCGUGGUCUCAGCUCACUGCAACCUCUGCCUCCCGGGUUCAGGUGAUUCUCUUGCCUCAGCCUCUGGAAUAGCUGGGAUUACAGGUGCCCGCCACCACACCUGGCUAAUUUUUGUAUUUUUAGUAGAGACGGGGUUUCUCUAUGUUGGCCAGGCUGGUUUUGAACGGCUGACCUUGUGAUCCGCCUGCCUCAGUUUCCCAAAGUGCUAGGAUUACAGGUGUGAGCCACCAUGCCCUACGAUUUAGGAUGUUUUUUGACUCUGAAAAAGAAAAAUUGUCUGAUUUUUCUUUUUCUGUUUUUAUUUUUACAGUGAGCUGAACACACAUCAUUUUUAUAACUGGGAAAAAUGUGCCACUAUUAUUUUGAAAAUUAAAUUCCUUGGAAAUAAAAAGCUAAACAUUCUACCAUCUUCCAUGUUAUUGUGGGUUUGUAUUUGCUUCUCUAAGAGAGUGAUUAGGAGAUGCUCUGAAGACUCUCAGCACACCAAAAGGAUAGCUAUUCUAAACAUUCCUUUUAGCACCUUCACAUACAUUCAAUGCAUUCCUCAAUGUAUCACCCAAUGCAUUCUUGUUGAAUAAGUGAAUGAGCAUUGAGAAGAAAAUCUGUGAUCAAUAUGCAAAGUGUUGCAAAAGAAGAACACUUUCAUAAGGAUGAGAAGUCAUAACAAUAGAAAAUAAUAACUUUCAAUUUCUUUUUCUUAGAUUCCUGGUAGCUGGAUUAAUUUGUGUUCAAAGUGAUUCACUGAGUCUAGUGAGAUCCUAGAACAAGGUUGGGGCUGUUUAAGUCACUCUAAGAGCUCCCUCCAGACAUUUCUGUCAGCCUGUCUACACCAUAUCUCUUUUCAUUAUUCUUGUUGCCUUUGGUGGCUGUCACAGACAGGAGAGCCAAAUAAUGCUCCUAGCAGCACAUAUCAUUUCUGCUUUGUCCAUCUCUUGCUCACUAUAAUAGGACAUUCUUCUUCCACAGAUAGAACAGAUUUCUGGUUCUUAGAAAGGCUUCCCAACCUCUGCCCAGGCGUUCAUUUUAUUUGUGAUUCAGAGAAUGGCUCUUGGCCAACACAAGAGAAUGCCAAUUCAGGGACUACUGUGGUUUGAAUGUCCCCUCUGAAACUCAUGUUGAAAUCUAAUUGCCAUUGUAAUAGUAUUAACAGUGGGACCUUUAAAAGGUGCUUAGGUCAUGAGGGGUCAUGAUGGAUUAAUGCUGUUGUCACUGGGAGUGGGGUCCCAAUAAAGGGAUGAAAUUUGGCCUGAUUUCCUGUCUCACACAUGAUAAAGGGAUGAUAUUCAGCCUGCUUUCCAGUCUCGCACGCCUGCUUGCCCUUCCGCCAUGUUAUGAUGCAGCCAGAAGGCCCUCACCAGAAGCAGCCCCUCAGCCUUGGACUUCCCAGCUUCCAGAACUGCACGAGGCUGGGGAGCUGGGGCGCUGCUGGUGGGCUUCAUGGUGCUGUGGUUCUGUCUAUUCUCAUCAGCCUGUGAGGCAAGAAAGUAUUGGCAGCACCUCACAGGCCUUGUCCUCUUCAUAGCCCCCUCCCGGGAGCCACAUCAGUCUCCAUUUCAG
rnacentral:lncRNA from 10 species